rnacentral:lncRNA from 1 species
AUAAUCUUUUACCAAUGUUAAUAUAAAUUUGAGAUACUUAUUUUGAGACGUAGGAAGUAUAUUGUAUUUGAGCAACUGUCAAGAUGCAUGCAUGUUCCCAAAUUUUCAAGUUAGUUGCGGUCGUAGUGGACCUUGUGAGCUACUCUACUCCAUUCAUGGAGUGUAAUAUAUAUCUGGAAGGUGCAGCUUGCAGGCACGUCGACCCCAUGCACCUAUGCGUGGCCACUUCGAACCUGAUCUAUCUACACGCCUAAGCUAUAUACAACGACCGACCAAGGGUCAAGUGGGGUGCGCCGUCAUUGUCGCUCCCAUUGUCACAUCCAACAUACGCCGUGUACAUGUAUAUAACACACGCUUACACACACACAAAGACUAAUUUAGAAGCCGUAUAAAUGCUUGGGUCACUGAUACCGAUAAAUUCUCAGAAAAAUAGUUUUUUGCGGGAAAAUUGUCUGGUAUUCCCUCCAUUCACAAAUAAGUGUGCUCUAACUUUUAUCCUAAGUCAAAGUUUUAAAACUUUGACCAAUUUUAAAGGGAAAAUAGCAUCAUUUAUGACACUAAAUUAGUAUCAAUAGAUCUGUUUUGAAAUGCAU